CCUACGGGAGGCAGCAGUGGGGAAUAUUGGACAAUGGGGGGAACCCUGAUCCAGCGACGCCGCGUGAGUGAAGAAGUAUUUCGGUAUGUAAAGCUCUAUCAGCAGGGAAGAGAGAAAUGACGGUACCUGACUAAGAAGCCCCGGCUAACUACGUGCCAGCAGCCGCGGUAAUACGUAGGGGGCAAGCGUUAUCCGGAUUUACUGGGUGUAAAGGGAGCGUAGACGGCAGUGCAAGUCUGGAGUGAAAGGCGGGGGCUCAACCCCCGGACUGCUCUGGAAACUGUACGGCUGGAGUGCAGGAGAGGUAAGUGGAAUUCCUAGUGUAGCGGUGAAAUGCGUAGAUAUUAGGAGGAACACCAGUGGCGAAGGCGGCUUACUGGACUGUAACUGACGUUGAGGCUCGAAAGCGUGGGGAGCAAACAGGAUUAGAUACCCGAGUAGUC
rnacentral:rRNA from 1 species